rnacentral:rRNA from 1 species
UGCAGUCGAACGAUGAAGCCCUUCGGGGUGGAUUAGUGGCGAACGGGUGAGUAACACGUGGGCAAUCUGCCCUUCACUCUGGGACAAGCCCUGGAAACGGGGUCUAAUACCGGAUACGAGGUUCGGAGGCAUCUUCGAAUCUGGAAAGCUCCGGCGGUGAAGGAUGAGCCCGCGGCCUAUCAGCUUGUUGGUGAGGUAGUGGCUCACCAAGGCGACGACGGGUAGCCGGCCUGAGAGGGCGACCGGCCACACUGGGACUGAGACACGGCCCAGACUCCUACGGGAGGCAGCAGUGGGGAAUAUUGCACAAUGGGCGAAAGCCUGAUGCAGCGACGCCGCGUGAGGGAUGACGGCCUUCGGGUUGUAAACCUCUUUCAGCAGGGAAGAAGCGAAAGUGACGGUACCUGCAGAAGAAGCGCCGGCUAACUACGUGCCAGCAGCCGCGGUAAUACGUAGGGCGCAAGCGUUGUCCGGAAUUAUUGGGCGUAAAGAGCUCGUAGGCGGCUUGUCACGUCGAUUGUGAAAGCCCGAGGCUUAACCUCGGGUCUGCAGUCGAUACGGGCUAGCUAGAGUGUGGUAGGGGAGAUCGGAAUUCCUGGUGUAGCGGUGAAAUGCGCAGAUAUCAGGAGGAACACCGGUGGCGAAGGCGGAUCUCUGGGCCAUUACUGACGCUGAG